AACGAACGCUGGCGGCAUGCCUAACACAUGCAAGUCGAACGACACCUUCGGUUCUUGUGGCUCACGGCUGCUUACCGCGUGGUAACCUGUCCUUAGGUUCGUAUUCUCUCCCCGAAGGUGGUGCUAAUACCGGCUAAUUUCUUCCGCCUAAAGAGUUAUCGACGUUGGAUGGGCCCUCGUUGGAUUGGCUUGUUGGUAUGGUAAAAGCCUACUAAGGCGACGAUACAUAGCUGGUCUGAGAGGAAGAUCAGCCACACUGGGACUGAGACACGGCCCAGACUCCUACGGGAGGCAGCAGUGGGGAAUAUUGGACAAUGGGCGAAAGGAUGAUCCAGCAAGGCCGCGUGAGUGAUGAAGGCCGGAGGGUUGUAAAGCGCUUUUACCCGGGAGGAUAAUGACAGUACCGGGAGAAUAAGCACCGGCUAACUACGUG
rnacentral:rRNA from 1 species